rnacentral:lncRNA from 1 species
AUAAGAUCUUCUAGGGAUCCCUUCCCGUGUUUCUUGCUGAAGGAAGACGGCACCCACUGGGGUGUGCCCCCAGCAAAGCUGAACGACUUCUCCCAAACUCUUUGGAAAUGGGGUUAUCUCUGAUCCGGGAGGAACACCCAGCAUGGCAAGCUGACUAGAACACUUCAGAUUAGGGGUCUGGCUGGAGCUGCUGUGGUACCUAAGACCCCCACCUUGCAGGAGGCUUAGCUGAGCAUUUAAUUUGGAAAGAACUCACCAUUCCCUAGUCACUCAGGUAUGAUGUUUGGGCAUCUUCCCAGCCCAAAAACCCAGAG